CGUGACACAAACAUGCAUUCGUUUUAUUCACAAAACAGCCUGGUUUCCUAAAACAAUACAAACAGCAUGUUCAUCAGCAGGAAGCUGGCG